rnacentral:lncRNA from 1 species
AAAUCCUGAAAUGAUGAUAAAAUUUCACCUAUUGUGUUACUUCUGUAUGUAUUUUUUUCUCUUCGAUUUUUCUUAUACACAACUUAUUCAGCAGGUGACGCCAUUUUCAUCGAAUCGGCACAAACAUUUCGGGACUUGUCAGAAAUUUUUUCUGGCGAGUUUUCAGUUUGAUGGACGGAUGCGGGAGCGCAUUGUCAGAGAACAAUUUCUGUACAGACCCACUUUAUUCUAGAACUAGUCACUAAAAGAAAAUGACAUUUCUGUAUUGUUGCGUGAUAAAUGAUGUCAAAUGCGAAAGAAAACGUAAGAAUAAAAAAAUCUAGCUUCUACCGGAGAUAAAUUAAGUCUUAGUAAUAAGUUUUUGCUCCUGUUUAAAAAAUCAGUCGAAAAUAAAUGACCCGCUGUAAUGUUAUUGCCGCU